CCUACGGGAGGCAGCAGUGGGGAAUAUUGCACAAUGGGGGAAACCCUGAUGCAGCGACGCAGCGUGAGUGAGGAAGUAUUUCGGUAUGUAAAGCUCUAUCAGCAGGGAAGAAAAUGACGGUACCUGACUAAGAAGCCCCGGCUAACUACGUUCCAGCAGCCGCGGUAAUACGUAGGGGGCAAGCGUUAUCCGGAUUUACUGGGUGUAAAGGGAGCGUAGACGGCUAAUCAAGUCAGAAGUGAAAACUCAGGGCUCAACCUUGGGACUGCUUUUGAAACUGAGUAGCUAGAGUGCAGGAGAGGUAAGCGGAAUGCCUAGUGUAGCGGUGAAAUGCUUAGAUAUUAGGAGGAACCCCAGUGGCGAAGGCGGCUUACUGGACUGUAACUGACGUUGAGGCUCGAAAGCGUGGGGAGCAAACAGGAUUAGAUACCCCUGUAGUC
rnacentral:rRNA from 1 species